rnacentral:rRNA from 1 species
AGAACGAACGCUGGCGGCAGGCUUAACACAUGCAAGUCGAACGCCCCGCAAGGGGAGUGGCAGACGGGUGAGUAACGCGUGGGAAUCUACCCAGAACUUCGGAACAACUGAGGGAAACUUCAGCUAAUACCGGAUACGCCCUACGGGGGAAAGAUUUAUCGGUUCUGGAUGAGCCCGCGUUGGAUUAGCUAGUUGGUGAGGUAAUGGCUCACCAAGGCGACGAUCCAUAGCUGGUCUGAGAGGAUGAUCAGCCACACUGGGACUGAGACACGGCCCAGACUCCUACGGGAGGCAGCAGUGGGGAAUAUUGGACAAUGGGCGAAAGCCUGAUCCCAGCCAUGCCGCGUGAGUGAUGAAGGCCUUAGGGUUGUAAAGCUCUUUCAGUAGGGAAGAUAAUGACGGUACCUACAGAAGAAGCCCCGGCUAACUUCGUGCCAGCCGCCGC